rnacentral:rRNA from 1 species
AGAGUUUGAUCAUGGCUCAGAACGAACGCUGGCGGCAGGCUUAACACAUGCAAGUCGAACGGGUGUAGCAAUACAUCAGUGGCAGACGGGUGAGUAACACGUGGGAACCUUCCUAGGGGUACGGAACAACUCAGGGAAACUUGAGCUAAUACCGUAUACGUCCGUGAGGAGAAAGAUUUAUCGCCCUUAGACGGGCCCGCGUCGGAUUAGGUAGUUGGUGGGGUAACGGCCUACCAAGCCUACGAUCCGUAGCUGAUCUGAGAGGAUGAUCAGCCACACUGGGACUGAGACACGGCCCAGACUCCUACGGGAGGCAGCAGUGGGGAAUCUUGGACAAUGGGCGCAAGCCUGAUCCAGCCAUGCCGCGUGAGUGAAGAAGGCCUUCGGGUUGUAAAGCUCUUUUGCCAGGGACGAUAAUGACGGUACCUAGAAUAG